rnacentral:rRNA from 1 species
AACGAACGCUGGCGGCGUGGAUUAGGCAUGCAAGUCGAACGAGAACCGGAGCUAUAGCAAUAUAAUUCCGGGGACAGUGGCGAAAGGGUGAGUAACGCGCGGGUAAUCUGCCCUUAAGUUGGGGAUAGCUCUGCGAAAGCGGAAUUAAUACCGAAUGUGGUCGUUCUCCGCAUGGAGGACUAUCUAAAGCCGGGGACCGUAAGGCCUGGCGCUUGAGGAUGAGCCCACGUACUAUCAGCUUGUUGGUGAGGUGACGGCUCACCAAGGCUAUGACGGUUAGCUGGUCUGAGAGGAUGGUCAGCCACACUGGGACUGAGACACUGCCCAGACUCCUACGGGAGGCUG